rnacentral:rRNA from 1 species
UAUUCCGGCGAGUGGCGGACGGGUGAGGAGCACAUCGGAAUCUACUCCGUCGUGGGGGAUAACGUAGGGAAACUUACGCUAAUACCGCAUACGACCUAAGGGUGAAAGUGGGGGACCGCAAGGCCUCACGCGAUGGAAUGAGCCGAUGUCCGAUUAGCUAGUUGGUGGGGUAACGGCCCACCAAGGCUUUGACGGGUAGCUGGUCUGAGAGGACGAUCAGCCACACUGGGACUGAGACACGGCCCAGACUCCUACGGGAGGCAGCAGCAGGGAAUCUUGCGCAAUGGGCGAAAGCCUGACGCAGCAACGCCGCGUGGGGGAUGAAGGCCUUCGGGUUGUAAACCCCUUUCAGGAGGGAAGAAAAUGACG